rnacentral:rRNA from 1 species
GAUGAACGCUGGCGGCGUGCCUAAUACAUGCAAGUCGAGCGAACGGACGAGAAGCUUGCUUCUCUGAUGUUAGCGGCGGACGGGUGAGUAACACGUGGAUAACCUACCUAUAAGACUGGGAUAACUUCGGGAAACCGGAGCUAAUACCGGAUAAUAUUUUGAACCGCAUGGUUCAAAAGUGAAAGACGGUCUUGCUGUCACUUAUAGAUGGAUCCGCGCUGCAUUAGCUAGUUGGUAAGGUAACGGCUUACCAAGGCAACGAUGCAUAGCCGACCUGAGAGGGUGAUAGGCCACACUGGAACUGAGACACGGUCAAGACUCCUACGGGAGGCAGCAGUAGGGAAUCGUCCGCAAUGGGCGAAAGCCUGACGGAGCAACGCCGCGUGAGUGAUGAAGGUCUUCGGAUCGUAAAACUCUGUUAUUAGGGAAGAACAGAUGUGUAAGUAACUGUGCACAUCUUGACGGUACCUAAUCAGAAAGCCACGGCUAACUACGUG